rnacentral:precursor_RNA from 9 species
AUAUCUCGAGUUCUUACACGAGGGAGACUAUCAGCUGUCAUGAUGCCUUCCUGUUUUGGAAGAGUUUGGGUAGGCAUUAUGAAGGUUGGUAAUUUCCUUUGUUAAAAUCAACAACUCCCAC